rnacentral:rRNA from 1 species
CCCUUAGACGUCCGGGGCUGCACGCGCGCUACACUGACUGGCUCAGCGUGUGCCUACCCUCCGCCGGCAGGCGCGGGUAACCCGUUGAACCCCAUUCGUGAUGGGGAUCGGGGAUUGCAAUUAUUCCCCAUGAACGAGGAAUUCCCAGUAAGUGCGGGUCAUAAGCUUGCGUUGAUUAAGUCCCUGCCCUUUGUACACACCGCCCGUCGCUACUACCGAUUGGAUGGUUUAGUGAGGCCCUCGGAUCGGCCCCGCCGGGGUCGGCCCACGGCCCUGGCGGAGCGCUGAGAAGACGGUCGAACUUGACUAUCUAGAGGAAGUAAAAGUCGUAACA